rnacentral:rRNA from 1 species
AACCUGGUUGAUCCUGCCAGUAGUCAUAUGCUUGUUUCAAGGACUAAGCCAUGCAAGUCUCAGAGUAAAUGGAUUAACAGUAGGUCUGCAGACAGCUCAUUAGACCAGCUUGAACCUACGCGGAGAAACUGCCUUUUGGCAGACUAUUGGAUAACUUUGGUAACCCCAAAGCUAAUACAUGUCAGUAAAACCCGCACAGAUUCAACCCUUGGAUCUCGGUUCGAGGGCUGUGCUGGGUGCAAUUGACCGAACAAAAACCAACGCUAGCAAUAGCAGCGGUGAUUGGAUGAAUCAGGUCAAUCGAGUAGUAGCGCAUGCUUCCGCGGCGCUUGUCCGCACGGCAAUCUGCCCUAUCAGCUUUUGACGGUAGUGUAGUGGACUACCGUGGCUGUAACGGGUAACGGGGAAUUAGGGUUCGAUUCCGGAGAGGGAGCCUGAGAAACGGCUACCACAACUAAGGUUGGCAGCAGGCGCGCAAAUUGCCCAAUAGCAACACAUCGCUGAGGCAGCGAAGAGAAAUAGCAACUUCAUGCGGCCCUGCCGUGUGAAGAUUGCCAUGGACGAUAUCUAAACCUGUCGGUGAGUAUCAAUUGGUGGACAAGUCUGGUGCCAGCACCCGCGGUAAUUCCAGCACCAAUAGC